rnacentral:rRNA from 1 species
CAGCCGCCACGGGAAUACGUAGGGUGCGAGCGUUAAUCGGAAUUACUGGGCGUAAAGCGUGCGCAGGCGGUUUUGUAAGACAGGUGUGAAAUCCCCGGGCUCAACCUGGGAAUGGCGCUUGUGACUGCAAAGCUAGAGUGCGGCAGAGGGGGAUGGAAUUCCGCGUGUAGCAGUGAAAUGCGUAGAUAUGCGGAGGAACACCGAUGGCGAAGGCAAUCCCCUGGGCCUGCACUGACGCUCAUGCACGAAAGCGUGGGGAGCAAACAGGAUUAGAUACCCCUGUAGUCCCUGUCUCUUAUAC